rnacentral:lncRNA from 1 species
UUGGUAUUUCCUAACACUCUCGAUAAACCACUUGUGACCAAAUGAUGCCCAAUUAUAAUUCCUCACAUCACUAGGAACAAGCAAAGACCCCAAGUACUUGAUGCUGGGGUAGGUACUUGAAUUAGGACACAAAAAAUAGAGAGAAAGACAACCAUAAAGCAGAUGAAAUGGUUAUCAUCUGCAAGAUCAUUGGUGAGGAGCAUCAACCACUUGUGACCAAAUGAUGCCCAAUUAUAAUUCCUCACAUCACUAGGAACAAGCAAAGACCCCAAGUACUUGAUGCUGGGGUAGGUACUUGAAUUAGGACACAAAAAAUAGAGAGAAAGACAACCAUAAAGCAGAUGAAAUGUUUAUCAUCUGCAAGAUCAUUGGUGAGGAGCAUCUUGCCAAAAUGUUUAAUAGUAGGC